CCCUAUUUGUACAAGUUUUCCUUCCUUCUCCUCUGAUAUGCUAUCAUCUCAUCUCGUGGGCGCAUAGUGGAAGCACGUAGUGAUAAAUUUUGGAAGAGCAAAGGUAAGAGACAUUACAAACCUUCGAGGGGCAACACGUUUCUUCCGUUUUUGAGAAAUCCUAGCAACCCAUUUAUGGUGUUAAUCCUGAAUAUUUUACUGUUGAAGUACAUUAUGAAGGCCAAUUUUAUGAUAAACCAAACAAUGUGGUGUAUGAAGGGAGGUUCGUGCUUUUCGUUGACUUCUUUUAUUGUAAAUGGUGCACAGAAGAGAAUUUGAGUAAAUUCUUACAUGGAACUUGUUAUGAAAGGAUGUUGAAGGCGGGAAGAGGGGGGUGUAAAUGGAUUGAGAAUAUUUUAUCCUUGGUGUUUGAAAAGAAAAAUGUAUUUUUGUAUUGAAUG